rnacentral:rRNA from 1 species
ACACAGGUGGUCAGGUAGAGAAUACCAAGGCGCUUGAGAGAACUCGGGUGAAGGAACUAGGCAAAAUGGUGCCGUAACUUCGGGAGAAGGCACGCUGAUAUGUAGGUGAAGCCCCUGCGGGCGGAGCUGAAAUCAGUCGAAGAUACCAGCUGGCUGCAACUGUUUAUUAAAAACACAGCACUGUGCAAACACGAAAGUGGACGUAUACGGUGUGACGCCUGCCCGGUGCCGG